CCUACGGGUGGCAGCAGUGAGGAAUAUUGGUCAAUGGACGAGAGUCUGAACCAGCCAAGUAGCGUGAAGGAUGACUGCCCUAUGGGUUGUAAACUUCUUUUAUAUGGGAAUAAAAUGUUCCACGUGUGGGAUUUUGUAUGUACCAUAUGAAUAAGGAUCGGCUAACUCCGUGCCAGCAGCCGCGGUACUACGGAGGAUCCGAGCGUUAUCCGGAUUUAUUGGGUUUAAAGGGAGCGUAGGUGGAUUGUUAAGUCAGUUGUGAAAGUUUGCGGCUCAACCGUAAAAUUGCAGUUGAAACUGGCAGUCGUGAGUACAGUAGAGGUGGGCGGAAUUCGUGGUGUAGCGGUGAAAUGCUUAGAUAUCACGAAGAACUCCGAUUGCGAAGGCAGCUCACUGGACUGCAACUGACACUGAGGCUCGAAAGUGUGGGUAUCAAACAGGAGUAGAUACCCCUGUAGUC
rnacentral:rRNA from 1 species